AGCUCCCAAACUCUUACUAGCCAAGAGAAAGUUCUCAAGAGCAUGGUCUCAGUAUUAUUUCUUAAUAGGUCACCAGAGGAGAGUCCCCUCCUGUUGUAUCCUGUGACUAUAGCACUGCUUAUGAUACCAAUCACUUGUUAUCUGGUGGUCCUGAUUUCUCGGUUAGAUUGUGGGACCUCUUCAAAGGAACAUUGUUCCACACUAUUGCAGUUCAUGGUGGGUGGUCAGUAGCAUUGUAGCAUGUCCUCCUCAUAUUAAUCUCACCUAGACUCCUAGUAUCAUGCCUUCAUGCAUGGAACCUUGACAACUCACUGGACAAGUUAGUAUUAGAUUGGUACUAAUAAUCAAUGUUUUGAAGAAUGAUAUUAUGAAUAAUGAUAAUGAUGUAUUGUUG